rnacentral:rRNA from 1 species
GGCCUACGGGGGGCAGCAGUGAGGAAUAUUGGUCAAUGGUCGGGAGACUGAACCAGCCAAGCCGCGUGAGGGAGGAAGGUACAGAGUAUCGUAAACCUCUUUUGUCAGGGAACAAAGACUGGGACGCGUCCCCGGAUGAGUGUACCUGAAGAAAAAGCAUCGGCUAACUCCGUGCCAGCAGCCGCGGUAAUACGGAGGAUGCGAGCGUUAUCCGGAUUUAUUGGGUUUAAAGGGUGCGCAGGCGGAAGAUCAAGCCAGCGGUAAAAUUGAGAGGCUCAACCUCUUCGAGCCGUUGAAACUGGCUU